rnacentral:rRNA from 1 species
CCUACGGGAGGCAGCAGUGGGGAAUAUUGGACAAUGGGGGGAACCCUGAUCCAGCGACGCCGCGGGAGUGAAGAAGUAUUUCGGUAUGUAAAGCUCUAUCAGCAGGGAAGAAAGAAAUGACGGUACCUGACUAAGAAGCCCCGGCUAACUACGUGCCAGCAGCCGCGGUAAUACGGAGGGGGCAAGCGUUAUCCGGAUUUACUGGGUGUAAAGGGAGCGUAGACGGCGAUGCAAGUCUGAAGUGAAAGGCGGGGGCCCAACCUCCGGACUGCUUUGGAAACUGUAUGGCUGGAGUGCAGGAGAGGUAAGUGGAAUUCCUAGUGUAGCGGUGAAAUGCGUAGAUAUUAGGAGGAACACCAGUGGCGAAGGCGGCUUACUGGACUGUAACUGACGUUGAGGCUCGAAAGCGUGGGGAGCAAACAGGAUUAGAUACCCUUGUAGUC